AAGCCUUGAAGAAAUUAUACUGUGUAGAAGGACCUAGUCCAUGGAUAUCAUGCAGUCAUUCCUUCAUGUGAUUGAUAUUUCUUCCAAUGCAGAAGCUGCGGCAUCGAAAAAAACAGACUUUUGCGGAGACACGUGGGCAAACAAAACACUUUAACAAGUAUUCCUAGUUUCCAACACUU